rnacentral:rRNA from 1 species
UGGGGAAUAUUGCACAAUGGGCGCAAGCCUGAUGCAGCCAUGCCGCGUGUGUGAAGAAGGCCUUCGGGUUGUAAAGCACUUUCAGCGGGGAGGAAGGGAGUAAAGUUAAUACCUUUGCUCAUUGACGUUACCCGCAGAAGAAGCACCGGCUAACUCCGUGCCAGCAGCCGCGGUAAUACGGAGGGUGCAAGCGUUAAUCGGAAUUACUGGGCGUAAAGCGCACGCAGGCGGUCUGUUAAGUCAGAUGUGAAAUCCUCGGGCUCAACCUGGGAACUGCAUCUGAUACUGGCAAGCUUGAGUCUCGUAGAGGGGGGUAGAAUUCCAGGUGUAGCGGUGAAAUGCGUAGAGAUCUGGAGGAAUACCGGUGGCGAAGGCGGCCCCCUGGACGAAGACUGACGCUCAGGUGCGAAAGCGUGGGGAGCAAACAGG